GCGUCGCGCCAUCUCGCGGAGGGGAGACCAACUCACCGAUUCUUAUCCAGAGCAUGCAAUGGAUACCGUAGUUCCCUGUAAACGACGGUACAGAUCUGUACCAUGGAACCAGCGCCCUCUCUGAGAUGCAUAGCAAGGUUUAACCUCGAAGUCUCUCUGGCGUCGGGAAAAUAGGAAUCCUGCUGUUCAAAAAAUGGCCGGAAGUCAAGGUCUAAUAAGAGGGCACUAAGUGAUCAUUCGGGUCAAGGAGGCUACUGAAUUGAGUAACUAAUGGCGCUUCCCUAAAGUGCCUCCGUCCGGUGGGCUCGUCUGAAAUUUUGGAAACAUUCGGCGCCCGACGUUUCUGGCCAAUGUAACAUCGGAGGAAAAUGAAAACGAAGGAUGCGACUGUCUAGACAGCCAGAACCACGCAAUUGUCUAGACUGGACCACCACGCGUGAGAAAGGCCGGAAAAACUCCUCCAUGCCCCAAAACAUACUUAAGCUCGUUCGAACAAUCUUUCAGUACUUAAAAAAAUUGAAAACUACUGAACCACCAUUUUUACAAAUACCAACGUACUGUAAUACAAUAAUCAAUAAGUAUAACUCUAUCUUAAAAAUUGAACAUGGCGUCUGUUUGCAGUGGAUCACAGUAUGCCAAUUUAUCCAAUUCUCUCGAAUAUUAAUUUAGAUAAUGAAUCAUGAGAAGAAAUAUUUUAUUAAUACUUACUAUGUUUUGUCCACGGAUUACUGCUGCAUGUACGUCUGUGGUGGCUUUGGAAAACAUUGUU